UGUUAGCAGGUGAAAAUGCAAACCACCGCCUUCUGCUUGGGAGGAGCACGGGGAGGGAGCCUGAGCUGCCUUCCCGCCGCGCGGCAGGCCGGAAGUCCUUCUUGGAGGUGGCAGCGGCCGCGGCACGCCGCGCUGCGAUGCGGGCAGCGGCGAGCUCCGGCGCCGGAAGCACAGCAUGAGGUUGACGAUCGGUCGGGCAAGAAUCCUUGCGGCUUCUACCCUUCUGUGUGGGGGGAUUUCUUCCUUCACCACUCUGAUCCAGCAGCUUCCUCUCAAAAGCAGGUGGAACCAUAUAUAUAUAUAUAUAUAUAUAUACCCUUCUCCUCUUUAUUACCUGCAUAUAUACGAGUGAGGCGUUUUGAAGGCCGAGCUACAUGCAGGCUGUAAUCUCGCUCGGUCGUUGUUACAUUGGGAUUCGCGUGUCCUGACUUUUCCAGUUGUGUACGCUGACAAAUUUGGAGAAAUACACCGGUGCCACUGUUUGGUGUUCGCGAUUUAUACACGGGCCUACGGUGGUGAACAUGAUGUUCGUCAUGGGCGGCUUUGAAUUUGGCCCAUGUGGACGGGUGAGUAUUAUUUGCUGGUAGACGGCACGCAGCGUGUCCAUCUCAACAACAACAAAAAAAAAGCUCUUUCGCCAUGGACGGGUUGGAGUUCUUCGAGGAGUGCGAUUCAGGCGUUUGGACGCCGGAUUUGUGUGAAGAGAUAGAACUGCUGACGAAACGUCGGUUGCUGUUGAGACAAAUAGGAGAUCUCUUGAGGUCCAAGUUGGUUGAAUUUCUUCUGAGUCAGGCGGCGGCAGAUGGGUGUUGUGCAAGAUGAAGGAGACGAGCAGGCGGAUGGAACAAUUGUCACCGAGAAAUUGUCUGCAUCAUACAAUGGAGGUGGUAGCCAAUUCAAGUGAAAUCGGCACUGAAAAUAUGGACGGUGGGAUGGCCAAGGAAGAUGGAGAUGAAGAGGGUGUGGUCGUUUCCAAAUCCCAGUGCUCCUCCUGAUCACGAAGGAUCAGAAUUGGUAAGGCGGCGGAUCAGAGGGAGCGCAAUCCCAGCAGAGUGCCUGCCCUUGAGACUUCGAUGCGUGCCUAUGUUGAUAAAAAUAUGGGUACUGUUAUUAAUCCAGCUAUUGGUACGAGGGUCAAUUCAAUUGAAGAGGGCUAUGCACUUAUUCGUUAGGCAGUACAAGAAGAUGUAGUUUGAUCGGGAUUCAGAAGAAAGUUAUCAGGAGAAGAGGAUGAAACUCGUGAGCUGAAUAUUUACCACCUAUAUGUGAUAUAGCACAGAUUAACUUUAUGCUAGUUAGCAAAUGAUUUGUUGUGAACGCCUUUGUGCAAGGUAGCAUUGUACUGAAGGCAAAUCUGCCAAUUGAGAUACAUGCAUCACAAAUUUACAUUAGGGACAAUGUUUGAGAAAUUUGGUGAGGUGCUAUAUGAGGGUGGGUCUUACAUUCUUGUAGAAGUUAAACCUUGGCGGGAAUACAUAGCCAGGCACGUCAAAUUUCGAACAAAAGAUAAGUGGUGGGAGAAUGAGUUCAUGGUUCAAGUUAGUGAGGCGGCUAAUGAGUGCAUGGUCUGCCGGCUUUCGCUCUUCACUGAAACGUCUGAUCCGAACAAUACUUGUCAUAAGAAAGUUGUUGCACCUUUUGUCCACAGGUCAUGGUACAACUUGAUCUUUAGAAAGUUCCUGUCAAGCAUGUAGUGAAAGAAUGGACUAGAGAUGCGAUGGAUAUACUGCCGCCUGAGGUUUUGCGCUACCAGAAAGACCAAGGCACACUGAAGUAUUCUUCAUGGCGACACAACAGUUUGUACCUGCUGGCUCUGAAGAUAAUUAAACUAGGUGACUGUAAUGUCGAGGCGUAUACUCUGGCUAUGGAAGAGAUGAGAGAUGUCUAAGUCAUGGUUGAGCCAGUUGCCGCUGUGCGGGAUGGCAUGGGAUUGGCUGAUAGGGAUAUAGUUGCAGUUGCAGAUUCUUCCGCCUCUGGAAUAGCUAACAAGCAACAGUUUGGUUCAGCAGACUUUGGACACACAGUUCACAGGGCUCAACUCGAACCCCAGUCUUGUUCGAGCAGCACCAUCGAGGAAGCGACCAACAGGUCGACCAGCUGUGACAAAGCACCCCAUAUGAACAGCCAUCGAAGAGUACAAUAUGUCUGCAGAGGGAUGAUGCGCCAAAGGCUCCUAGAAAGUCUCGUCACUAUUCGCAGCAUUCCACCAAAAGUUGGCUUGCACCGUGAGAUUGUCUGUCUCUCUGUCUUUUUGCUUUCAACAUUGGAUUUAUCUUGCCGUUGCUUGUUGUUUGAGACUGUAGAUUUUGUAGCGUUGAACAAGGUUUGGUAUAACUUU